rnacentral:rRNA from 1 species
UACGUAGGGGGCUAGCGUUGUCCGGAAUCAUUGGGCGUAAAGCGCGUGUAGGCGGUUCGGUAAGUCCGCUGUGAAAGUCGGGGGCUCAACCCUCGAAUGCCGGUGGAUACUGUCGGGCUAGAGUGCGGAAGAGGAGAGUGGAAUUCCUGGUGUAGCGGUGAAAUGCGCAGAUAUCAGGAAGAACACCAAUGGCGAAGGCAGCACUCUGGGACGUGACUGACGCUGAGACGCGAAAGCGUGGGGAGCGAACAGG